AUUGAACGCUGGCGGCAGGCCUAACACAUGCAAGUCGAACGGUAGCACAGAGAGCUUGCUCUCGGGUGACGAGUGGCGGACGGGUGAGUAACGUCUGGGAAACUGCCCGAUGGAGGGGGAUAACUACUGGAAACGGUAGCUAAUACCGCAUAACGUCGCAAGACCAAAGUGGGGGACCUUCGGGCCUCACACCAUCGGAUGUGCCCAGAUGGGAUUAGCUAGUAGGUGGGGUAAUGGCUCACCUAGGCGACGAUCCCUAGCUGGUCUGAGAGGAUGACCAGCCACACUGGAACUGAGACACGGUCCAGACUCCUACGGGAGGCAGCAGUGGGGAAUAUUGCACAAUGGGCGCAAGCCUGAUGCAGCCAUGCCGCGUGUAUGAAGAAGGCCUUCGGGUUGUAAAGUACUUUCAGCGGGGAGGAGGGGAGUAAAGUUAAUACCUUUGCUCAUUGACGUUACCCGCAGAAGAAGCACCGGCUAACUCCGUGCCAGCCGCCGCAGUAA
rnacentral:rRNA from 1 species